rnacentral:rRNA from 1 species
GGAUGAACGCUGGCGGCGUGCCUAAUACAUGCAAGUCGAGCGAACGGACGAGAAGCUUGCUUCUCUGAUGUUAGCGGCGGACGGGUGAGUAACACGUGGAUAACCUACCUAUAAGACUGGGAUAACUUCGGGAAACCGGAGCUAAUACCGGAUAAUAUUUUGAACCGCAUGGUUCAAAAGUGAAAGACGGUCUUGCUGUCACUUAUAGAUGGAUCCGCGCUGCAUUAGCUAGUUGGUAAGGUAACGGCUUACCAAGGCAACGAUGCAUAGCCGACCUGAGAGGGUGAUCGGCCACACUGGAGCUGAGACACGGUCCAGACUCCUACGGGAGGCAGCAGUAGGGAAUCUUCCGCAAUGGGCGAAAGCCUGACGGAGCAACGCCGCGUGAGUGAUGAAGGUCUUCGGAUCGUAAAACUCUGUUAUUAGGGAAGAACAUAUGUGUAAGUAACUGUGCACAUCUUGACGGUACCUAAUCAGAAAGCCACGGCUAACUACGUG